UACCAUGUUUUCUAUGUGAAUAUUUCUUA
rnacentral:piRNA from 1 species